rnacentral:rRNA from 1 species
AUGAGGGCUGAAGCCCGCGGCCAGCUCACCCGUCUCCGCGGCGUGAUCCUCAACUGCGAGGGGUGCCUCUCUUACUUCCUCCACUCCAUCGAGCACCAGGUCCGAGACCCGCUCGAGCUAGCCGCCGACUUCGCCGCUGCUGCUGCCAAGGCGGAGGCGGAGGCGCAGGACUACAACGAAGGGUUCAAGCUUCAGGCCGGUGAUGAGUAUUACCUGAGCUCCCUGAACUUCUUCGCGCCGUCUGUGGGGGCCGCCUUCGCCGGGUUCUGGGGCGUCCGCUGGCUAGAUUGCGCCGAGGAUGGGCUUCUUGAGGUUCUUCGCUACUUGGAGUUGAACCUCGAAAUCGACGUUGAUCAGUGCUUUGUGGACCGCACGAGGGAUGCCUUCGACCAUGUGAACAACGCCCAGGCUUGCUUGAUUCGAGCCCAUGCUUCCCUCCGUCCAGGAAUAUGCUAUCUAGGUUACACGUCAAUGAAAUCCACAGGAGUCCUCUCGCCAGUCCACCAGUACACGUUCAGCAGCACAGGGUAA